AGAGUUUGAUCAUGGCUCAGGAUGAACGCUAGCGGCAGGCCUAAUACAUGCAAGUCGAGGGGCAGCAUAGUAGCAAUACUGAUGGCGACCGGCGCACGGGUGCGUAACGCGUAUGCAACCUACCUUUUACUGGGGGAUAGCCCGGAGAAAUUCGGAUUAACACCGCAUAAUAAGUUGAUAUGGCAUCAUAUUGAUUUUAAAAAUUUAUUGGUAAAAGAUGGGCAUGCGUCCAAUUAGCUAGUUGGUGAGGUAAUGGCUCACCAAGGCGAUGAUUGGUAGGGGUUCUGAGAGGAAGGUCCCCCACACUGGUACUGAGAUACGGACCAGACUCCUACGGGAGGCAGCAGUAGGGAAUAUUGGGCAAUGGGCGAGAGCCUGACCCAGCCAUGCCGCGUGCAGGAAGAAGGCCUUCUGGGUUGUAAACUGCUUUUGAUCGGGAACAAAACGGCCAUGCGUGGCAAUUUGAGUGUACCGAUAGAAUAAGCACCGGCUAACUCCGUGCCAGCAGCCGCGGUAAUACGGAGGGUGCAAGCGUUGUCCGGAUUUAUUGGGUUUAAAGGGUGCGUAGGCGGCCCUAUAAGUCAGUGGUGAAAUACUGCAGCUUAACUGUAGCAUUGCCAUUGAUACUGUAGGGCUUGAGUACAGAUGAGGUAGGCGGAAUUGAUGGUGUAGCGGUGAAAUGCAUAGAUACCAUCAAGAACACCGAUUGCGAAGGCAGCUUACUAAGCUGUAACUGACGCUGAGGCACGAAAGCGUGGGGAUCGAACAGGAUUAGAUACCCUAGUAGUCC
rnacentral:rRNA from 1 species